rnacentral:rRNA from 1 species
ACGUAGGGUGCGAGCGUUGUCCGGAAUUACUGGGCGUAAAGGGCUCGUAGGCGGCCAACUAAGUCGGAUGUGAAAUCCCCAGGCUCAACUUGGGAACUGCAUCCGAUACUGGAUGGCUUGAAUCCGGGAGAGGGAUGCAGAAUUCCAGGUGUAGCGGUGAAAUGCGUAGAUAUCUGGAGGAAUACCGGUGGCGAAGGCGGCAUCCUGGACCGGCAUUGACGCUGAUGAGCGAAAGCUAGGGGAGCAAACGGGA